GUGGGAGUGUCUGAGUGUAUUGUACGGAUUGAUUGGUUGUUCUGCAAAACCCUGUGGGCAGUACUAUGUGUGUAAAAUGUGCAUAAAAGCAGAGUGUUUGAUUAAAAGUUUCAGUUCUACUUCACCUUCAAUUUGGAGUCUCGUCUCUUAUUGGGGGAUCUGCUACAAGGGAUUGCUAUGCUCUGCAUAUUCCCUUGCUAUAAUCACUCCUAAGCUCUUGUAAGAGCUUGUUCCUGCUUCACUCUGAUUGAAGAGAGGUUC